AUUGAACGCUGGCGGCAUGCCUUACACAUGCAAGUCGAACGGCAGCACGGGAGCAAUCCUGGUGGCGAGUGGCGAACGGGUGAGUAAUAUAUCGGAACGUGCCCGGUCGUGGGGGAUAACGUAGCGAAAGCUACGCUAAUACCGCAUACGAUCUACGGAUGAAANCGGGGGAUCGCAAGACCUCGCGCGAUUGGAGCGGCCGAUAUCAGAUUAGGUAGUUGGUGAGGUAAAGGCUCACCAAGCCGACGAUCUGUAGCUGGUCUGAGAGGACGACCAGCCACACUGGGACUGAGACACGGCCCAGACUCCUACGGGAGGCAGCAGUGGGGAAUUUUGGACAAUGGGCGCAAGCCUGAUCCAGCAAUGCCGCGUGCAGGAUGAAGGCC
rnacentral:rRNA from 1 species